AAGUAAUAGUGUGUUAUGAUAAAUGUUAAAAAGUUUUGGUUUUAUAAAAGUACACAUUUUAUCCUCAUAAUUUAUUUUGCCUGCCUGUUUUCAAAAGCUCCACUUAAACAAAUCCAAAACUUAAAAAAUCCAAGAUUGAUAUUAUUUAGUAUGUGUAUAUGGGGUUUACUUGAUGGAUUCUUUAUUUCAAAAUAUUGGCUUAAACUGCAGCAAUGGCAUCUGACAUCUGCCCGAAAUAAACUUGUUAUUGCAUAUGUAAGUUGACCUUGAGGCUAUCCAUUAGUUCAUUAAGCUUCAUAGUAAGAACAUUGAUGACUUCUUCAAAGAAACAUAAUGUUAAUCAAAUCUGUAGUUAGAAAAUUUGUUUGAGAAAAGAUUUCAAUUGUCUAAUUUUUUCAAAAUCAUAAAUAAUAUUAAGCAAAAUUACAGUUUAUUAAAGUUAUUUUUGUUAAAUUGUAC
rnacentral:lncRNA from 1 species